UACGGAGGGUGCGAGCGUUGUCCGGAAUCACUGGGCGUAAAGGGCGCGUAGGCGGCCUGAUAAGUAGGGGGUGAAAUCCUGCGGCUUAACCGCAGGGCUGCCUUCUAAACUGUCAGGCUUGAGCACAGUAGAGGCAGGUGGAAUUCCCGGUGUAGAGGUGAAAUGCGCAGAUAUCAGGAGGAACACCGGUGGCGAAGGCGGUUCUCUGGGCAUUACCUGACGCUGAGGAGCGAAAGUGUGGGGAGCGAACAGG
rnacentral:rRNA from 1 species